AUGACGCUCAAGGGGGCAAAGCCUGCUUCUGCAAAGUGGUACGAUUGAAGGGACUAUGUCUUCAUUGAAUUUUGUGUUGAAGACAGUAAAGAUGUUAAUGUAAAUUUUGAAAAAUCCAAACUUGGAUUGGUUCAGCUGUCUUGGAGGAAGUGAUAAUUUUAAACAUUUAAAUGAAAUUGAUCUUGUUCACUGUAUUGAUCCAAAUGAUUCCAAGCAUAAAAGAACGGACAGAUCGAUUUUGUGUUGUUUACGAAAAGGAGAGUCUGGCCAGUCAUGGCCAAGGUUAACAAAAGGAAGGGCGAAGCUUAAUUGGCUUAGUGUGGACUUCAAUAAUUGGAAAGACUGGGAAGAUGAUUCAGAUGAAGACAUGUCUAAUUUUGAUCGCUUCUCUGAGAUGAUGAACAACAUGGGUGGUGAUGAGGAUGUAGAUUUACCAGAAGUAGAUGGAGCAGAUGUUGACUCACAAGGCAGUGAUGAGGAAAAAAUGCCAGAUCUGGAGUAAGGGAUAUUGUCGUCACCUGGAUUUUGAGAAAGAAAAAUAACUUCUGCAAGAUUUCAUAAUUGAGAGAAUUCCUGAGUUGAUAGCUCUAAAGGCAGAUGCUGUAUUUGCCUCCUUUAACCCAUUUUUCAACCUGUUUUGUUUUUUUAAAGGCUUCAUUAAGGGUUGAUAAUGUACCAUUGUAUGGGGCAAUUUUAAGUCAGCUAAGGCAAUAACCUUAUGCAUGAACAUUUCCCAGACUUCCAUGAAGCUGUUGAGGUCCUAGGCAAUUGAUGCAGCAGUUGUGAUAAACACAUUUCAUCUAAGUCGCCUUUCUUCGUAACAUAGAUACUGACAUGAUAGGAAACUCUCAGCUUAGGGAAAGAGUACUGAAUUUUAGGUUUUAGAACAUGGACUCAAAAGUGACUGAAACAAAUUGGCUGAUACCUGAAACUGGUAACCUGCUGGUCCUCUGGUGUAUCCUUCAGGGUUGUUCACUGAAGUUUAUUUUUCAAAAAAUUUACUUCACGUUAUUGUAUGUAACUGAUCACUUGUCAGUGUUCCAGAUGUAUCUUAGCUAAAACUAGUGAAUGCCCUAACUUAGAUGGUUUUUGAAGCCUAUACAUUUGGUUUUUGUUCGGCCCUUAAGCUUUUACAUCUCUUAGCAUGGAGGACAAAGAAAGCUGUACAUUGUUGCUUGAGAAUCUGUACAUUUAGACCAGAUUUGUAUUUGCACUGUCAGUAUGGCAAAUGAGUGAAAAAAAAUGUUAAUACACUAUUGGAAUUUUUUAUUUCUUUUUUGAUUCAGCUUAUACCAGUGCUGAAAACCUCAAUUUAUGUUCAUGACAGUGGGGAUUUUUUUAAAUGUCUACAUUCUUUCUAAUAAACUGUUGGAAGACUUAAAAAAAAAAAAAAAAGCAAAA